rnacentral:rRNA from 1 species
UACGAAGGGGGGCUAGCGUUGCUCGGAAUGACUGGGCGUAAAGGGCGCGUAGGCGGUUUGUACAGUCAGAUGUGAAAUUCCCGGGCUCAACCUGGGGGCUGCAUUUGAUACGUGCGGACUUGAGUGGGGAAGAGGGUCGUGGAAUUCCCAGUGUAGAGGUGAAAUUCGUAGAUAUUGGGAAGAACAUCGGUGGCGAAGGCGGCGACCUGGUCCUUGACUGACGCUGAGGCGCGAAAGCGUGGGGAGCAAACAGG